rfam:Stegodyphus mimosarum contig88141, whole genome shotgun sequence.
GCCUUCGUAGUGUAGUGGUCAGCACGCUUGACGCGUAACCGAGAGGGCCGUGGUUCGAUUCCGGGCGAAAUCU